UACGGAGGGGGCAAGCGUUGUUCGGAAUUAUUGGGCGUAAAGGGCAUGUAGGCGGUUUAAUCUGUUAAAGGUGAAAUGCCAGGGCUUAACCCUGGAGCUUCCCUAAAACUGCCAGACUCGAGUCCGGGAGAGGAUAGCGGAAUUCCUAGUGUAGAGGUGAAAUUCGUAGAUAUUA
rnacentral:rRNA from 1 species